GGCUGAUUUUGAAUUUGCAAUCCUCCCACCUCAGCCUCCCAGAACGCUGGAUGACAGAUUUGGCUGCAUUAUUGGGGUGCUUUGCUGACAGUAGCUUCGGGCAGGAAGGAGACGGCCUACCAAAGAGCAGAGAGCUCUGGUGAAAGAAGGGAGAGGCCUUCGUCCCGGUGCCACCUCAGGAGAGGCGCUCCCGGCCGCCUGACUCGCCACCCCAGUCCUCUGCACCCCGGUGCCCAGCUCGCUGCUCCAUCACCCUGCUCAUUUAUCUGUGCGCGCCUGAGUGUCCCGCCGCACGCCGUCUGCUCCCGUGUACCCACACCUGGCCCUGCACCCCGGACAGGUAGGCUUGCCGUGGACAGUGCCCAGUGAAUGCAUGCGACUGGAGCUCACGUACCCAAACCC
rnacentral:lncRNA from 1 species